GCACUAGCGCCACUGUUCGCGGCGGCGGUUUGGAAAACUAAAAAAAAACCACACAAGCAAAAGCAAAUCCGCGGCGCUGGCGCGGAGCCGAAGGCGCAGGUCGCGCCUUAUACAGUAGGUCGUGGUUCUGCGAACCGCAAUGUGGCGUCGCCGUGUCCGACUUCGCUUGACGGACAUCGAGGGAUGUGCUGCUCGCUGCAAGUAAUGUAAAUGCAACUGCGUCGACCGCCCACUGUUCAGCGCUGAAUGCGUGUUUGGUGUGCUGUGCUUGAAACGAGUGGUGCAGACGUGCAGCGGGGGUGGCGGAGGAGCAUAGUGGCUUAGGGGCUCCGUUUGCGCGUUCACAGACAUGUGCUCCCAUCUUGGUCUCAUUAGCGGCUGUCGCGAGAUUGUGGUGUGCUAGCUCCUUGCCUAGUAUAAAGUUUGCCACGCUAACGCACAGCAUGUUCACGUUUUUCCGAGCUAUAUGUCGUUUGCAUGACGGCCGAGUUGAAAACGAGGCAUAUGUCUGUGUUCUUUGCGUUUGUGUGUUGUAAAUUACUUUCUAUUGUGGAAGUUCUUGGAGUUUUAUUACGCAAGGAGUGCCAACGUAAACAUAAACAGAUAUGGGUGUCUGAAAUUCUGAAUUACCCAUAAUACCCUUUACGACUGAUAAGUGAGCUACACGGCCUGUGUGAAUCAGCUACCAUAUGUUGCGACGCUCAUCCGUGUGGUAGACUGAUGCAUGAUGCGCGUUUAUUUCUGUACUGUUGUAAAAACCAUUUGUUUAUUCACUCAAUACAAAUGUACGGCUUCUUCGCCGCAGUACAUUUUCGUUACGCGGUGAAGCAUACUAAAAGUGGGAGGGGGUCGCUAUCAGCCAGCAUAGUAUGCCCACUUAGGCGACCUGAGAGUCGGCGGGUGCGCGAGUGUAUAAUUAAAGAACUCACAUUAUGUCCAGUGACAGUGGCCCCUUUUCACUUUUAGUAUGCUUCACCGCAGUACACUGCUUAGGCUUCACCGCGAAAUAUUAGUGUAUUGCGAGAAAGAUAACCGUAAAAAGCCUAAUCAUGCAACGCUUCUUUCGUAGCUUGCUACACCGCAAUACAGGGGUGUAAAUAAGCAUCGUGCAGUAAAGCAUACUAAGAGUGGAAAGGGCACGUAGGCUUACACUGUGCUCAUUAUUUUCAAUUGUGACAUAAUUUGCAAGUGCAUCUAUGCUCGUGGUAAGCUUCAUUGACAAUUCUUUGUACAUUACAAAUUCACAUUGCAGAGAAGCUUACUAAAGCACAUUUGCCAUUAUGGUACGUCCUAUUCACCUUCAAUGCAGGAGCACAAUGCGGAUUCUUGCCCCUGCUUUUGGCUGGACUGCACAUGCUCUUUGAGAAUUUAUUCAUUGUUCAUAAGUGCACUGGUAGUUUACUCUAAACUGGAGGGCUCAAGUUGAUAUCAAAGCACAAUUUUUAUUAAGGGGACAAGAUGAUACCGAGAUGGUUGCAGCACAACUUUUCUUUUUCUUCCAGGCGCCUUUUCUACUUGAAGCUUCCAUUGCAGUGUUUCGAGUCUCUUUGAACCAGCACAUAGUGUAUAUAAAAAUUGGACACUGAUUGGGAACAUCACCUAAGUUCAUGCCUAUGUAUACAAAAAGAUGUGGCACGACCAGACAAAAUAAAAGAAGGGGGUGGGCUGCAGCAAUACUAAGUGUUAAAUGGUGCCUUAUCAUUUCCCUUGAGUUUUCUGUUUUGUGCUUUUUGUUAUAGAUCCUCCACAGUAACCACACGAGUACCGAACUUGAGCUUGUUGGUUUCAGAUCUCAUGGUUGUUACUAACAGAACAGUGUGAUAAACGAAAAUGGGCUUGGAGGCAUCCGUUCACCUUGCUUGCCUCAUGGUGCUGCUUCAUAAGCACCGUGAGCAUCGAGGCCAACUAGGAAGGGAGGUUUGUUGCAAUUGCUUCUGAACUGUAUUGCCACCAAACAGUGCUCUCAAUGACAACUUUUGGACAGCAGAAUGCUUGCACCCAGCAAAGUCUAAGAAGGAAGCAUUCAGGAUGUGCGAAGUGGGUCUUUUCAAGCUGGCAUCAUCGCUGAAGGGGUUUUGCCUGUCUGCCCUCAUUAUGGAUACACAAAGAUGAUUUCCUCUUUGAGAGGGAUUGUUUCAGCGGUCGCUACAUGGCAACAAUGCUGGGUGUAUAGUAGCUUGUCUUUGCUCACUGUCAAUAAUAUGUUCCUUUUUCCAGUGCCCCUGUGGAAAUGCCUACUUUUUGGACACAAAGUGCUCUCCAUGCAUGCAUGCAUUUUUAGCUUGUAAAGACAUCUAUUACCCCUUGCCUCAAGCUUGUCCUUGCUGAUGUCACCCAAGAAGGUAUUGGGGAGUAUGGCAAUGUACACUUACAAAACACUGUUGAUACCAGUGAAACCAAAUUAAUGGAGCUGCUGUUCUUUUUUUGUCCACUCCAUCCUGGUUAGUUACAAUGAGCAAUGUCCGAACAGAAGGCAUAUGUAGUUGGUUGUGCAUAUAACCACACGCGGUGAAUCGUGCGCGCCUGGCUGCGCGUCACGCGUCUGCGAGGCCGUACGCGCCUGUCCUACGCGUCUAGAGAGGGCAGACGUGCAGGAAACGCGCGCGUCAAGGAGGUCUUGAUCUUGGGCGUCAUUUUGAGCGUACGCGACGGAAGUGGCAGCUUGUGCACCGACGUCACGUGGGCCGCAUGUACACUUCCGGCGGUUCGGAAAGGUUGAAGUUUCAGAAUCGUGCGGAGACGCCGGGAGUCGCUGCUGGUUUCGUGUCGAUAGAGCACAGAGGCUAUGGAGGCGAUCAACAACGAAGCGCUGAUCGCCUGCGUUGAGGCUCGACCUGCGCUUUGGUAGCAGGCGAAACACAAGCGCCACUAGAACAAGCACUUGACAAGGUGGUCGUGCAUCGUCAUGCCCAACGCUGCCGAACAGAUGACGUUAUCACAGCGCUGCAGAAGUGAUGGAAGUCCCUGGGGAAUAGAUUUCGGCGCCUGGGAAGACGUUUCAGAAAGAAAAGAGCCGCGCCGUGCCAGUCGGCGUUCACGACGACGUCAUCGGGCUGUUUUUCGACCAGAUGAUGUUUCUGCGCUACACAAUGGAGUGUAGACCGAUGUCCGCCAACCUUCCACCAGUGCCCCCAUCGAUUGAGGAGAGAAGUGCUGCAGACAUCUUCACAGAAAAUGUGCCAGUUUUCCGAUCUGGCAACACUUGAAGUGCCAUCACCGUCAAGUGAAGAGUCACAAGCGCCAGCAUCGACUCUGUCUUAGGCGUCGCAUGAGUCUGUGGAGUCUCAGGACAUUUUGGAAUCUCUUGAAUCACCGAUGUUUCAAAAAGUUCUGGUUCCUGAGGAUUCUGAGGCACACCACAGCAGUCCGCAGUCAGAAGCAUCGCUGGCUUCAGCAGGCAGUCGUAGGCUGGAUACGUUAGGAAGCAUUGCUUCUGAAGCAAAGUCAAGGGGGAGGAAAAAGAAAGAUUACAGUCAGUUAAUAUUGGAGGAAUUAGGCAAUGUUUCAAGUGCAAUCAAAAGACGCAAACCACAGGACGACCUUGAACUUGAUAUGCAUCUCGACUUGAAAAUUAAAUUGAUGCAUGUAGGAGAGUAAUUCAAAGAUUUAUGUUUUUUAAUGUAUACUUUUUGUAUAAUAAAGCCGAGACAAUGAAACAAAAGGAAAUCAUUGAUGAAUUUAAUUACUUUAUAUCGAAAUGGAAAAAUAAGGAGGAAAAUGAAAGUAUAUGAAAAGGUAGCUUCCCACUAAUGGGAGACGAACCCACAACCUUUGAAUUAAGCUUGCAUUGCUUUACCAGUAGAGCUGCAGCAAUGGCUAUCCCUCUGCAAACUUUCUUGGGCCUGUAUGUGCAUGUACUAUAUCUAACCCUGGUAGUGUUAGCCAGUGCUACUCGUGCAAGAACACUCCAAGAGCCUAACCUAGUACACAUAAACAUUCUAUGAAAUUGAUGGUGGAAUAGCCUCCAGCUCAAUUGGUUUUGGUUUUAGCUCCCACCAAUGGCAAGUUAUAUUUUGUCCACUUUCAUUUCCCUUCUCCUUCUGAUGUUGACAUUACAAAUAAAAUGACAGUUAUUUUCCUUUACGCUUUA